CCGGGCCCACCCUUCCAUAACCUUCGUCUGACCAGGGAGGCUGGCUGGACGUGGACAGCAGAGCCAGUUCAGAGCAAAGGGAUGGGGUCUGCCCCGCGGGGACCUUCCCUCGGGCCCCAUUCCAGGGACCCCUCUUGGAUGCACAUGGGGCUGGCGACUUCUCAGCUGCUGGACGGCUUGAGAAAGGAAGGGGGAAAGCCUGGCAGAACCUGCAGGGGCCAGCCUCUGGGGCCACUGCUCGUGAGGCCACUUGGGGUAGCCCCAGGGCCUGUCUCCCCACGAGAGAAUUUGAUGAACAUUCUUGAGUGCCUUCUUAGCAGCCCAGAGCGCUGGCUGGAAAUAAAGGGACCAGCUCUUCAUGGGUGAUGACUUGAUAGCCACUUGAAAGGGGACCCAUACCUUUUCUUUUGGGGGGUGUGUAGACAGAGCCCUGGGAACAUAUGUGAUCACCCCCAGCAUUGCUGGGGGCCCUCCACCCAGGGAGAACCGCCUUAUUCUCCAGUCUCUCCCUGGCCUCCCUUGAAGAUGGUGCAAUGCCCUGGGUCCCCACUGAGAUCUUCACCCCGAGUAGGGUGCCUGCUGACCCUCUUAAAGCCUGCUAAUCAUUCACCUGGAAAUUGAGCUCCCCCAGGGAAAUCAGGGAUACUAAUUAAAGAAACACUGUUUCCUGUAAAGCGCCUGCCUGUUACUACCUCAGUGCCCAUGAAACCUGGGCUGUAGUCCUACUCUUAGCUUUCUGAAACUCCUGUUGCCUUUGCUUGUGUGAGCAGUAGCCGAGGUGAGCUGCUUUCACAAAGUGACUGCCCCCAAUUUAAUGUUCUGGAAAUGUUGUUCUGAAGCCCAGCAUCUGGGCUUGUGAGAAAGGAGAGAGGGGUGUGCAUGGGCCUCCCCGUGGCCCCUUCCAGCCACUCCUCAAGUUCCCCUGCAGGGGAGAGUCAGGCUUCAGUGACCAAGUGUGAAGCGUAAACACGGGUGCUGUGACAGCCUGCCUCCUCUCCAACACACUGGUUUCGCAGAACGACUUGAAUGAUUCUGCACUAGGACUUGACCUUGGAGUGGAAGUCAGGGCGAUCCGCUAGCAGGAUGCUCGGGCGGCAGCAUCCCCAGGGGCCAUCCUGACCUGCCUGCUCCCGAGCCAGAUUUUAAAAAGCGUCGAGAUGAUUCUUUAUCGUUUGAGCACCAGGGAAGACAGCAGUCCCCGACUUUUUGGCACCAAGUGUCGGUUUCAUGGAAGACAAAUUUCUCAUGAACUGGGAUGGUUCGGGUGGAGUGAUGGGAAGCGGCCAAUGAAGUUUCCACUCACCUCCUUCAGUGCAGCCUGGACCAGAACUGAUCCUGGGGCCUGGGGCCCUGCAGGAAGAGGUAACCAAGCUUCUUAAGGAGCAUCACCGUACCUCCCAUUUCUCCCAGAUACAGACCCUGAGACCCAACUCCCUUCUAGAACCCUCUGUGGCCCCAGAGUCCUCAGAUUCUGCCUGCUCAAACUUGAGUCUAGCAUCUCCUCCCCUAAAAUUCCUGCGAGCUCACAGCAGCAGAGCUUCUUCCUCAACAUGUGUCUCAGCCCCCCGGAGUUGUGACCACAGGUAGGAGAGACAGAGAGAGGGUAAAUGUUUUCCUCCCUGGAAGAGAACUCCACUCAUAUUCUUCAAAUAGCCCAAAUCUGGCAGGUCCCCACGUGUAACAGGUGAUUGGCGAGAAUUGUCUGCAUUAUGUCAGUUUGUGUUAAAAUUACAGUAAAAGUUGUAAUAAAAAAGUAAAGAAAA